rnacentral:rRNA from 1 species
UACGUAGGGGGCAAGCGUUGUCCGGAAUUAUUGGGCGUAAAGAGCGCGUAGGCGGUCCGGUAAGUCGGUUGUGAAAGCCCGAGGCUCAACCUCGGAACUGCCUUCGAUACUGCGGGUCUCGAGUCCGGGAGAGGUGAGUGGAAUUCCUAGUGUAGAGGUGAAAUUCGUAGAUAUUAGGAAGAACACCAGUGGCGAAGGCGGCUCACUGGCCCGGUACUGACGCUGAGGCGCGAAAGCGUGGGGAGCAAACAGG